AAACUAACAAGGAUUCCCCUAGUAACUGCGAGUGAAGCGGGAAAAGCUCAAAUUUAAAAUCUGGCAGCCUUCGGUUGUCCGAGUUGUAGUCUGGAGAAGCGUUUUCCGCGCUGGACCGUGUAUAAGUCCCUUGGAAUAGGGCGUCAUAGAGGGUGAGAAUCCCGUCUUUGACACGGACUACCAGUGCUUUGUGAUGCGCUCUCAAAGAGUCGAGUUGUUUGGGAAUGCAGCUCAAAAUGGGUGGUAAAUUCCAUCUAAAGCUAAAUAUUGGCGAGAGACCGAUAGCGAACAAGUACCGUGAGGGAAAGAUGAAAAGCACUUUGGAAAGAGAGUUAAACAGUACGUGAAAUUGCUGAAAGGGAAACGCUUGAAGUCAGUCGCGUUAUGCAGAACUCAGCCUGGCUUUUGCUUGGUGUAUUUUCUGUAUGACGGGUCAGCAUCAAUUUUGAUCGCUGGAAAAAGGCCUCAGAAAUGUGGCACCUUCGGGUGUGUUAUAGUCUGGGGUCAUAUACAGCGGUUGGGAUUGAGGUCUGCAGCACGCCUUUAUGGCUGGGGUUCGCCCACAUUCGUGCUUAGGAUGCUGGCGUAAUGGCUUUAAACGACC
rnacentral:rRNA from 1 species